rnacentral:tRNA from 1 species
GGCUCAGUAGCUUAGUUGGUAAAGCACACGUCUUGCAUACAAGAGUCGUAGGUUUGAGUCCCAUCUGAACAC